CCCUGCUUUGGUGUUCCUCUCCGAUGGACAAGGUCGCUCAGGCCUACUGGGUCUCUAACGACAACGAUGACCGCCAUCGGCCACCACCAGAUCUUCACUCAGACCUAUUGGUCCCGGAUCGUUCCGUCUCCGAUGGUAGACCCGACCACCAGUGGAGCACCAUCGAUGCCCGCAGGGAAGCCGACAAUGGCUGUAGCAUGAUGAAGACCAGAGGAGUAGAAGGGAGCCUAUUUGGAGGCAGCGGGACCGUUGGAGAGGAAGGCAAUCCAAAGGAGCCUGGUUG
rnacentral:lncRNA from 1 species